UACGAAGGGGGCUAGCGUUGCUCGGAAUCACUGGGCGUAAAGGGUGCGUAGGCGGGUCUUUAAGUCAGGGGUGAAAUCCUGGAGCUCAACUCCAGAACUGCCUUUGAUACUGAAGAUCUUGAGUUCGGGAGAGGUGAGUGGAACUGCGAGUGUAGAGGUGAAAUUCGUAGAUAUUCGGUGGAACACCAGUGGCGAAGGCGACUCGCUGGACUGAUACUGACGCUGAGGUGCGAAAGCGUGGGGAGCAAACAGG
rnacentral:rRNA from 1 species